AUUUUUCCAUGUGGGAACAUGCCGCGUUUUACCACCUCCUCUCAAAGGAUGUCAAAGACCGAAGGAGAGGCCGGGCCUCCCUGUCUCCUGGAAGUACAGUUGCCUAACCAGAGCAGUGGAAAAGAGGUUAAGCGGCUGCAGCUAUCAAGGAGAAAGAGUAACCCUGGGAUACAAGCACUUCCAGAAGCUCAAUGUAGAGAUGCAUGCUUUAUCAUCCAGUAAUUUGGAGAAAAGGCUGCCUUGAUCACCCCAAAGCACCAAGGAAGCUGAGGAAGGCCGGAGAAGAGGGGAAAAGAUGCUGGAAAUGUCUUGAAGCAUGGAGAUUCUCUAUUGGAAGGAGAAGCGAUUCAGACAUGAGCCUAGAAGCUUCCAGUGGCAGCGCGAGUCAGAGGAAUUCACAGAGCUCAAGUUGUGUUCCCCGCAACCUCAGCCUUCCUCAAGCUGAGGGUCUGGCUUAGGUCACUGUAAAGGUAGGAAUGG